rnacentral:ncRNA from 1 species
AGGGAGGAAAGAUUAUAUGGAUUUAGUUUUUUUUUUAUUUAAUAAAAGUUUUAUUCUAGCUUAGAAUAUUUAUAUAUAUAUUUUUUACAUAUAAAAUUUUAUUAAAAAAAAAUGAUUAUAGUAUUUAAUUUUAAAAAUUAAAGAAAUUUAGAAUUAGAAAUAUAUAAGAGUUUAAACAAAAUUUGUGCCAGCAGUUGCGGUUAUACAGAUUAAGCUAUAAAUAUUUAUUAGUAUAUAAUAAAUUGUUUUAAUUAAAUUAUAAUUAGUAUUUAUUAGGUUAAAUUUUAAAUAUUAAGGAAUUUAUUAAAUAAAAUUAUUUAUUAAAUUUUAUUAAAAACUAGGAUUAGAUACCCUAUUAUUAAAAUGUAAGUUUAUACUAAAUUAUUAAAAGUUAAGAUCUCUAAAUUUAAAGAUUUUGGCGGUAUCUUAGUCUAUUCAGAGGAACCUGUUAAUAUAAAUUGAUGAUCCACGAGUAAAUUGACUUAAUUUAUAAAUUUAUAUAUCGUUGUAGUGAAAUUUUUUAAAAGAAAUUAAAUAUUUAAUAUUUAGUAUUUUAAAAUAAAUCAAAUCAAGAUGUAGUGUAUAGUUAAGAAUUAAUGGGUUACAUUGAUUAUAAUUAUGGUUUUAUUUUUUAAAAUGAUAAAUAAAUUGGAUUUGAAAGUAAUAUUUUUAUUAUAAAUAUGAUUAAGCUCUAAGAUAUGCACAUAUUGCCCGUCACUUUCAUUUAAAAUGAAAUAAGUCGUAACAUAGUAGAUUUACUGGAAAGUGUAUCUAGAGUG